rnacentral:rRNA from 1 species
UUAUUUAAUGGCCGCGGUAUUCUGACCGUGCAAAGGUAGCAUAAUCAUUAGUUUAUUAAUUGUGGACUUGUAUGAAUGGUUGGACGAAAUAUUGACUGUCUCAUAUUUAUAUUUUGAAUUUAAUUUUUGAGUUAAAAAGCUUAAAUUUUAUUGUAAGACGAGAAGACCCUAUAGAUCUUUAUUUUUAAUAUUAUAUUUUAAGUUUAGUUUUUUUUAUACAUAUAUUGUUGAAUUUUUUGUUGGGGUGACAUGGAGAUAUAAAUAACUCUUUAUUUUAUAUACAUUUAUAUAUGAUUUUUUGACCUUUUAUUAUUGUUUAAAGAUAUAGAUACCUUAGGGAUAACAGCGUAAUUUUUUUUAAGAGUUCAUAUCGACAAUAAAGAUUGCGACCUCGAUGUUGGAUUAAGAAUAGUUUAAGGUGUAGGUGCUUUAAUAUUAGGUCUGUUCGACCUUUAAAUUCUUACAUGAUCUGAGUU